rnacentral:rRNA from 1 species
GACGAACGCUGGCGGCGUGCUUAACACAUGCAAGUGGAGCGACGAACCGGGGCUUGCCCCGGGGCAGAGCCGCGAACGGGUGAGUAACACGUGGGUAACCUGCCUCAAUGAUUGGGCAACCCGGGGAAACUCGGGCUAAUACCAAAUGUGUUCACUCCUUCUAAGGGGAGUGAGGAAAGGAAGCUUCGGCCUCCGCAUUGAGAUGGGCCCGCGGCCCAUUAGCUUGUUGGUGAGGUAACGGCUCACCAAGGCUUCGAUGGGUAGCUGGUCUGAGAGGACGAUCAGCCACACUGGGACUGAGACACGGCCCAGACUUCCUACGGGAGGCAGCAGUGGGGAAAUCUUGCACAAUGCGCGAAAGCGUUGAUCGCAGCAACGCGCGUUGGGGAAG